rnacentral:rRNA from 1 species
GGGGAAUAUUGCGCAAUGGAGAAGAACUCUGACGCAGCAAUACCGCGUGAGCGAAGAAGGUCUUCGGAUCGUAAAGCUCUGUUAUCAGGGAAGAAGAAAAUGACGGUACCUGAUGAGCAAGUCCCGGCUAACUACGUGCCAGCAGCCGCGGUAAUACGUAGGGGACAAGCGUUGUCCGGAAUCACUGGGCGUAAAGGGCGCGCAGGCGGUGAUUUAAGCAGGAUGUGAAAGGCUACGGCUCAACCGUAGACAUGCACCCUGAACUGGGUCACUUGAGUAUUGGAGAGGCAGGCAGAAUUCCUGGUGUAGCGGUGAAAUGCGUAGAUAUCAGGAGGAAUACCGGAGGCGAAGGCGGCCUGCUGGACAAAUACUGACGCUGAGGCGCGAAAGCGUGGGGAGCAAACA